AGCCAAUGUAUGUAUAUUUGCAUGUUUUGGUUGAGCUAAAUGCAUGAUUGGAAGUUUUGGAGGCAAAUGUGCUUAAAGGAGCCAAGUUUCUGCCCUUUGGCAGAAACCAGGUUCGGCAGCCGAAGGAACUUUCGGCCGCCGAACAUGGCUGGGGAGGCAGGCCUUUCGGCUGCCGAAGUUGCCCCCGAAAAGAGACUUUCGUCUCUAUCUGGGACUUUCGGCCGCCGAAGGUGCCGCC
rnacentral:lncRNA from 1 species